rnacentral:misc_RNA from 1 species
AAGGAUCAUUAAUUUGGAUGAACAUGUUUCUCAGCAUGACAUUUCAAACCCCACCUGUGUAUCUUACCCGUUGCUUCCGUGCUGCCCACGCCGCAAAGGCGUGCCUCCUGGUCCCGAGUACUCAGGGCCCCGGGGAGCCGGCACGGGAGGUUAUAACCACAAACUCUUGCCUUUGAAUGCCUUCCGUCUGAACUGUAUUGAAUGAAAAGUUAAAACUUUCAACAACGGAUCUCUUGGUUCUC